rnacentral:rRNA from 1 species
UACGUAGGGGGCAAGCGUUGUCCGGAAUCAUUGGGCGUAAAGAGCGUGUAGGCGGCCCGAUAAGUCCGCUGUGAAAGUCCAGGGCUCAACCCUGGGAUGCCGGUGGAUACUGUCGGGCUCGAGUCCGGAAGAGGAGUGUGGAAUUCCUGGUGUAGCGGUGAAAUGCGUAGAUAUCGUCUGGAACGCCAAUGGUGAAGACAGGUUGCUGGGGGUAUUCUGACGCUGAGACACGAAAGCCAGGGGAGCAAACGGG